rnacentral:rRNA from 1 species
GAUGAACGCUGGCGGCGUGCCUAAUACAUGCAAGUCGAGCGAAUGGAUUAAGAGCUUGCUCUUAUGAAGUUAGCGGCGGACGGGUGAGUAACACGUGGGUAACCUGCCCAUAAGACUGGGAUAACUCCGGGAAACCGGGGCUAAUACCGGAUAACAUUUUGAACCGGAUGGUUCGAAAUGUAAAGGCGGAUUCGGCUGGCACUUAUGGAUGGACCCGCGUCGCAUUAGCUAGUUGGUGAGGUAACGGCUCACCAAGGCAACGAUGCGUAGCCGACCUGAGAGGGUGAUCGGCCACACUGGGACUGAGACACGGCCCAGACUCCUACGGGAGGCAGCAGUAGGGAAUCUUCCGCAAUGGACGAAAGUCUGACGGAGCAACGCCGCGUGAGUGAUGAAGGCUUUCGGGUCGUAAAACUCUGUUGUUAGGGAAGAACAAGUGCUAGUUGAAUAAGCUGGCACCUUGACGGUACCUAACCAGAAAGCCACGGCUAACUACGUGGCAGCCGCCGCAGUAA